GAUGAACGCUGGCGGCGUGCCUAAUACAUGCAAGUCGGGCGAACGGACGAGAAGCUUGCUUCUCUGAUGUUAGCGGCGGACGGGUGAGUAACACGUGGAUAACCUACCUAUAAGACUGGGAUAACUUCGGGAAACCGUAGCUAAUACCGGAUAAUAUUUUGAACCGCAUGGUUCAAAAGUGAAAGACGGUCUUGCUGCCACUUAUAGAUGGAUCCGCGCUGCAUUAGCUAGUUGGUAAGGUAACGGCUUACCAAGGCAACGAUGCAUAGCCGACCUGAGAGGGUGAUCGGCCACACUGGAACUGAGACACGGUCCAGACUCCUACGGGAGGCAGCAGUAGGGAAUCUUCCGCAAUGGGCGAAAGCCUGACGGAGCAACGCCGCGUGAGUGAUGAAGGUCUUCGGAUCGUAAAACUCUGUUAUUAGGGAAGAACAUAUGUGUAAGUAACUGUGCACAUCUUGACGGUACCUAAUCAGAAAGCCACGGCUAACUACGUG
rnacentral:rRNA from 1 species